AGGAUUAACGCUGGCGGCGUGCCUAACACAUGCAAGUCGAACGAGGUAGCAAUACCUAGUGGCAGACGGGUGAGUAACGCGUGGUCAACCUACCGUUGAGUGGGGGAUAACUAGCCGAAAGGUUAGCUAAUACCGCAUACGAGUCUCGGGGGCAUCCCUGGGCCUUAAAAGGAGCAAUCCGCUCGAUGACGGGACCGCGUCCCAUUAGCUAGAUGGUGGGGUAACGGCCUACCAUGGCACCGAUGGGUAGCUGGUUUGAGAGAGCGACCAGCCACACUGGGACUGAGAAACGGCCCAGACUCCUACGGGAGGCAGCAGUGAGGAAUUUUCCGCAAUGGGCGAAAGCCUGACGGAGCGACGCCGCGUGUGGGAAGAAGGCCUUCGGGUCGUAAACCACUGUCGAAGGGACGAUAAUGACGGUACCUUGGAGGAAGCCCCGGCUAACUACGCGCCAGCAGCCGC
rnacentral:rRNA from 1 species